CUUCCGUAUUGGUUCAUAUCAGACCAUGGUUCUCUAUUCCCUUUAUCUGAAGCCUGGUUUCCAUAGGGUCGUAAAAAUAGAGUGACGAUCUUUCUCAACGGCCAGUUUAUAAUAGUUUAUGCCUGUAAAGUACAUAUAAAUCAUAAGUAUUCUCUAGUUAUAAUCACUCCGCGUAUUUUCAAGUUCUCAAAUGUUGUAUUUCGGCCGAUUGACUCAACUUUUUACGAUUGUUACGACCAUAUGGAAACCAGACAUAUCCUGCAAAGAUGAACCCGACAUUUUAAGGCUAUCGAAAAACUAUAGAAUAUUUCCAUGUUUUACAGAGAGACGUCACAGCUGCUAACCCCUCACCCCCCUCCCCCCCCCGAAAAAAACCGAACUUAUGACGUUUCUCGUGGACAAAAUCGAUAUGCGAGGCUUCCCUAAACAGAUAAUCCCUAGACAAAAA